CUGCUUCCUGGAGUUCCCUUCAAACACUUCUCAUGGGUGACGGCUGGAGCAUUAACUUGCACAUAAAUUUUGCCCUAAUUGAAGUGUUUGGGGGAACUCUUGGAUUCAU
rnacentral:pre_miRNA from 1 species